GGGUCAAAGAUGACGCCUUACAUUGUCAUGAAGAGUGGUGGUGACCUAAAAAUGAUGCCCAGCCAGGCACUGGUGGCUC
rfam:Dipodomys ordii contig_15042, whole genome shotgun sequence.